rnacentral:lncRNA from 1 species
GUCAGGGUUGGGCAGCAGCCAAAGCUGCCACCAGUCUCCCUUCCCCAGCUGCCGGCGGACUCUGGACAGGGAGCCGGCAGCCCCAGGAAGCCUUCGUGGUGGAGACCCAGAGCCAGACACCGGCCCUCACAUCACCUCCCCUCCUGCUCGGCUGCCCUCAUUCUUUGGAUCCCUAGGCUGACACUCCCGCCGGCCCUUCAUCUUCCCUUACUGAUCCCAGAACGAGGGACGGAGCGAGCACCUCCACGCUACAAAUCCAGCCCCGUGUCCUGCAGAUGCAGCGGUCCUGGCUGCAGGUUUGGGGGAGUCCAGCGGGGAGGCCCCCGGGGCCAGCAGAGCCUCCCAGAGACGCCGCCCCCCCCCCCCACUGGCCGGUGCCAGCACGUAGCCCGAGCCCCGCUUGUCCAGACCCGGGGCUCCUCACACCGCCUUCUCAGGGGCAGACGCACACCGCCCACGUCCCGUGGGGGUGACUCGGGCUGUACUUGGGCCCGGGCUCCGAGCCCAGCAUCGCCCCACCCCCCCCCCCCGAGAAGAGAAGGGAGGCUCUUGGCCUCCAGAGCCCUGCCGCAAACCCCGGACCCGAGCCCGGCUUCCCAUCUACGAAGCGGAGGAAGGAACGCCCGCCUGGCGAGACCGUUGGCAACACUGGGUGCCAUAUUCACGCGACGCGUUCAGCAGAGUCUGGAAAAUACUAAAACGGAAAAAGACAACCACGAGCCUCCCGUCCAUGUCACACACCCUGCCCCCCGAACACACAGAGCCCGGGAUCCCACCAGAGGGGCAAGCUGGUAGUUCCACAUGCCGUCCUCAGAGGCGUCACCGACAAAACCACUAGCCUUCUCCGUGUCAAGCCCCGGGUGGACCCUCGGACAAGCACAUCCUGACCGGGGACAGCCCAGAAAUGGCAACUCAGAAAUGACCGGACUCAGAAAUGACGGCCCCCCCGCGGAGCCUCAGGGACCCAACACCUAUCCCAGCCUUGGCACCUGCUCGGCACCCACGCCCCCUCCUGCCCCACCAGGCUCCUCCCCUGCCCUUCACUUUGCUUAUCUUCGCACCAGAAGAUGAGAGCAAAGGCACACCCAAUCUCAUCAGGCUUUCCCAAUUACUUUUGCCUGAAGCCCCAUGAGUAGGAGGAGCGCCCACCAAGCCGUAAGGACGAUCGAGAGGAAAGAAAACAAGGGGAACCUACACUUUGGGUGGUUCCCAGAAAUACGACAUGGAAGAGGUCUGACCCCCGGGAAGGCUAGAGACUGGACAGGAGACACCAGUACUGCCUUAUGAACUCAUCACGUUGGAACUCCCUGCAUUUCCUUCAAGCACUCACUCACCUGGGCCCUGCCUGGGCGAGGGGUGCCCGCAGCCCAAGACCCCCAGAAGCCCCACCAAGCAGGACAGCUCCACCCACCGCUCUCACGGGCAUCUCUGACUCAACCUGCUCGAAUCCAGACUCUUUAUCUCCCUCCCCACACUCACCCCUCACCGCCAUCCGCCACCUCGGUCAACGGUACCACUAUCCGCCCACAGUCACUCAGAGAGCCGGGGCUCACCCUGGAUCCUCCCCCUGCCGUGUUUUCCAAACUUAUUAGUCACCGAGUCCAGUUCACGCGUAAAAUUUCCCUCUCCUCUCCUGUCCCCUUCACCUGGGUUCAGGACCUCAUCCUCGCUCACCUGGACUUCUGCAAAAGCCCUUCUUAUUCUCUCUUCCCCAGUCUCUCAUUCCACCACUGCAGGGAAGGGCUUCCGAAAUGAACCAAACAAGUCCUUGUCCUGCUUCAACAGCUUCCACUGG